GAGGUGCAAACCAAGUCCAAGUUGGAGACCUGAGAGAUUGCUGAAUGGACGACGGUGCUUUUGAACUGGAAGUUGUCGCUUGAGCGGAUGGCGGAUGCUAUAACGUAGCCGCAUGAGGCUGCUUCGCAACUUUAACUGAGAUUAUACCCUCUUUGUGAGUAUAAUCUCAAGGAGCUGAUCGAAACUAAGGAUUUUCCUGAACGACAAAACCGGACUGACCAGUGGAGACUGGAAAUUUGCCAGGAGUUAUUGCUGGGACUUCAGGAACUCACUCACACGGAAUUUUGCAUGGAGAUCUGAAGCCUGAAAACAUCUUGUGCAGUUAAGCUUAAGGGGCAAACUGUAUUGUACUUUUAUCCACACAAAAACAAAAAUGCACAUUUUGAUAACAUUAUGUUGUGAUAAUUAUGACAAAUUUGAAUUUUAUUUGUCUACAGAUAUAAACAAUAAGAUAUAUAUUGGAGACUUUGGGGCAAGCAGAAAACUAGACCCACCACACACCACCAUGUAUUCACACAUGGCUGUAACUUUGUCCUGGAUGAGUUAUGAGUAUGUUGCAGAAAACAAAUACAAGAAGGAGUCAGAAGUCCAAGCAACACCAUACUCCAGGAAUCCCCUUGGGAUAUUAAAUAAUGUUGAAAUGGGCAACUUCACUCUUCAAUGUGAGGAAAAAUGGAGCAGCCAAAAAGAUAGAAUUUCCCGGAUGCUGAAUAGAUCCCUUGAAGAACGUCCCACCGUUGAAGAAGUCCCUCAGGCAUUCUUCCUGAUUAUACUGGAACCACGAACAACGCUGAGUUUGAGAAUCAAAAUAAAGAUGGACGCCAUUCAAUGAAUUUCUGCCCUGAAACUUCCAAUGACAUGAACAUUGCAGAGUGUGGUCACAGAUCUGCCUGACAUCACAGCCAGUGACCCGCUGCCUUCAUCUCCACCGACUGAAGAGGAAUU